UACGGGGGGGGCAAGCGUUGUUCGGAAUUACUGGGCGUAAAGGGCUCGUAGGCGGCCAACUAAGUCAUACGUGAAAUCCCUCGGCUUAACCGGGGAACUGCGUCUGAUACUGGAUGGCUUGAAUUCGGGAGAGGGAUGCAGAAUUCCAGGUGUAGCGGUGAAAUGCGCAGAUAUCGGGAGGAACACCAAUUGCGAAGGCAGCUUGCUGGGACGGUACUGACGCUGAGGCGCGAAAGCGUGGGGAGCAAACAGG
rnacentral:rRNA from 1 species